UAUAUAUAUAUAUAUAUAUCUUUCUGGUAAGCAGCCUUCCCAGUUGCCCUACUUUCACUUAUAAUAAAAAGAAUGCGUCGAGUUAGUAAACAAGUUAGACAAAUUUGAAGUGCAUUAAAAGCUCAGUUUUGUUUUGUUUCGCUUUUUUUCAUAUUGUUUAUAUCAUAAAUUAAGUAGACUUCUGAGCACAACACAGCAAUUCGCUAAGCUUUCACAUAUGCGACUAGAAUUCUCUGUGACUCAUCAAAUUAAAAAGUUACAAAAAGAAUGACGUAAAAAUGAAAAAUGAUUUAGCUACCUCAGUGAAAGAACUCAGAGUUAGUUGAAUUAGUUAGUCUAAAUUUUAAUUUUACUAAAAGCAAAACUUUUCAUGCAUUUUUGGCAGUUUUACUUUUUGCAAAUUGUAAUUCGAAUAAUUGAAGCUAGCAAAAACUAAAAAUAUAUAGUUUUAGGAACAUGCUUACUAGUAUUAUCUAGAGACAGAUCCAAAUACUAUAAUACAUAUUCAAAAAAGUUUUUGAUUUGAAGGAUAGCACUCCUUAAUGAGUUCAAUACAAUUGAAAUUCAAAUAUUUACAAAAUUGAAUGUUUUGCUUGGACGUAUUUUAGCUCGUCUGCGAUUUGUGCCAAUUCAAAAAAUAAAUAAAUAAAAAAAUAAAAUAAAAUAAAAAAAAAAAAGAAGAGAA